GGCCGGUUAGCUCAGCUGGUUAGAGCGUGGUGCUAAUAACGCCAAGGUCGCGUGUUCGAUCCCCGUACUGGCCA
rfam:Danio rerio chromosome 4, GRCz11 reference primary assembly.